AGGAGUGGACUGACAGUUGAGUACCUGCCGAGUAGAGAUCAUCCGAAGGUGCUAGACAGCAAUAGCUUGAGACAUAACGGCAAAAGGCCCGAAAUUUUCCGGGAGCAGGUUAGUCGAUUAGAUCGGCCCCGGUACGCGACUGGUA